AUUCAUUUUACACUAUAUGGGUCUAGAAACAUUUUCUCUUCUGUUCUCCUUCUUCAAGCUUUCAACAAUACUUUCUUUUCAUCUUCUUAUCUAUCUGCUAGAUUUCAGACGAUGCGGAAUCACCAUUUUAAGGGUUAUUCUCUGUCCAAUUUCAUUGGUGUUGCCUUCUUCUCGCUGAUUUGGCUAUAUUUCUUCUUCUUCUUAAGGUUCUUCAUAACUGCCUCUUCACACACACCUUGCUCUACAUACCCGAGGAAAAUAAAGGAAGGUCUGUUAAAGGGCCUGUAAAGGGACUGCAUUAUAUGAUGACUCAUUAUUGUUGGUGGGAUUUGAAAGUAAAGGAAUGGAGGAGUAGGAAACAGAGUAUUGAGGAUUGAUAGAGAUUGUAUGGAGUUGCAAGACAAUAAUGGUCCAGAAAAAAGGACGAGAAAAUAGCACAGAUAUCCCACAACUUUUAGAAGCAGACAAGAUGGAUUGAGAUGUAAAGGCAAGUAUAAGAGAUCUGAGUAGCUUAAUUUAUUUAUUUUUUAUUCCCUAUUUGUUUGGCAUUUGCUAAUACUGUAUGUAUUAAUGGAAGUUUUGCAUCCACUUGGAUUGAAGCUUGGGAUGAGCUCAAUCUGCUACUAAAGACGCUGUCAAGAUUCCCAAUGGUGCUUCCAAAUAAAAUAUUUCAUAGUUAUUUGAGACUUUUAUUUUAUUUGCAGUAUUUAUAGCAUUGCGUUUAUGUAAUUUUCUCAUCUGCUUUCCGUUACUUCUUUUACUUGGAGUUGUAGGUGUAGUCAAAAUUUGGAAUCAGUGAAUGCAAAACUCCCAUUAAAUUCUUGUAUACUGUAAUAAGCCAUUUGGUAUUAUAGUUGUUUGUCUUCUUGGGAAUUCUCA